AUUGGACGCUGGCGGCAGGCCUAACACAUGCAAGUCGAGCGGAUGAGAGGAGCUUGCUUCUCGAUUCAGCGGCGGACGGGUGAGUAAUGCCUAGGAAUCUGCCUGGUAGUGGGGGACAACGUUUCGAAAGGAACGCUAAUACCGCAUACGUCCUACGGGAGAAAGCAGGGGACCUUCGGGCCUUGCGCUAUCAGACGAGCCUAGGUCGGAUUAGCUAGUUGGUGAGGUAAUGGCUCACCAAGGCGACGAUCCGUAACUGGUCUGAGAGGAUGAUCAGUCACACUGGAACUGAGACACGGUCCAGACCCCUACGGGAGGCAGCAGUGGGGAAUAUUGGACAAUGGGCGAAAGCCUGAUCCAGCCAUGCCGCGUGUGUGAAGAAGGUCUUCGGAUUGUAAAGCAUUUUAAGUUGGGAGGAAGGGUUGUAGAUUAAUACUCUGCAAUUUUGACGUUACCGACAGAAUAAGCACCGGCUAACUCUGUGCCAGCAGCCGCAGUAACAC
rnacentral:rRNA from 1 species